CGGAACGUUUCGGGCGUGGCAGUCUUUGCGCGGUCUUGCUUGUUUGGAAUAAAAAUUGGUGAUAUGAGGACUCAGUUUUGAAUGGGGAUUUAGAACUAUGACGUGGUGAUUUCGAGCUCAGUCGACUGGA